GACGAACGCUGGCGGCGUGCUUAACACACGCAAGUCGAACGGAAAGGCCCUGCUUGCCGGGUACUCGAGUGGCGAACGGGUGAGUAACACGUGGGUGAUCUGCCCUGCACUUCGGGAUAAGCUUGGGAAACUGGGUCUAAUACCGGAUAGGAACCAUCUUUAGUGUGGUGGUUGGAAAGUUUUUUCGGUGUAGGAUGAGCUCGCGGCCUAUCAGCUUGUUGGUGGGGUAAUGGCCUACCAAGGCGGCGACGGGUAGCCGGCCUGAGAGGGUGUACGGCCACAUUGGGACUGAGAUACGGCCCAGACUCCUACGGGAGGCAGCAGUGGGGAAUAUUGCACAAUGGGCGCAAGCCUGAUGCAGCGACGCCGCGUGGGGGAUGAAGGCCUUCGGGUUGUAAACUCCUUUCGCUAGGGACGAAGCUUUGUUGUGACGGUACCUAGAUAAGAAGCACCGGCUAACUACGUG
rnacentral:rRNA from 1 species